rnacentral:rRNA from 1 species
UACAGAGGGGGCGAGCGUUAAUCGGAAUUACUGGGCGUAAAGCGUGCGUAGGCGGUCGUGUAAGUCGGGUGUGAAAGCCCCGGGCUCAACCUGGGAAUUGCAUUCGAGACUGCACGGCUGGAGUGCGGUAGAGGGAAGCGGAAUUUCCGGUGUAGCGGUGAAAUGCGUAGAUAUCGGAAAGAACAUCAGUGGCGAAAGCGGCUUCCUGGUCCAUCACUGACGCUCAGGCACGAAAGCGUGGGGAGCAAACAGG